rnacentral:rRNA from 1 species
GACGAACGCUGGCGGCGUGCUUAACACAUGCAAGUCGAACGGAAAGGCCCUGCUUUUGUGGGGUGCUCGAGUGGCGAACGGGUGAGUAACACGUGAGUAACCUGCCCUUGACUUUGGGAUAACUUCAGGAAACUGGGGCUAAUACCGGAUAGGAGCUCCUGCUGCAUGGUGGGGGUUGGAAAGUUUCGGCGGUUGGGGAUGGACUCGCGGCUUAUCAGCUUGUUGGUGGGGUAGUGGCUUACCAAGGCUUUGACGGGUAGCCGGCCUGAGAGGGUGACCGGCCACAUUGGGACUGAGAUACGGACCAGAGGGCUACGGGAGGCAGCGGUGGGGAAUAUUGCACAAUGGGCGGAAGCCUGAUGCAGCAACGCCGCGUGCGGGAUGACGGCCUUCGGGUUGUAAACCGCUUUCGGCUGUGACGAAGCGUGAGUGACGGUAAUGGGUAAAGAAGCACCGGCUAACUACGUG